UACGUAGGGGCCUAGCGUUGUCCGGAAUUAUUGGGCGUAAAGAGCUCGUAGGCGGUUCGGCAAGUCGGAUGUGAAAUCUCCACGCUUAACGUGGAGGGGCCAUUCGAAACUGCUGUGACUCGAGUCCGGUAGGGGAGUGUGGAAUUCCCGGUGUAGCGGUGAAAUGCGCAGAUAUCGGGAGGAACACCAGUAGCAGAGGCGACACUCGUGGCCGGUACUGACGCUGAGGAGCGAAAGCGUGGGGAGCGAACAGG
rnacentral:rRNA from 1 species